UACGGGGGGGGUAAGCGUUGUUCGGAAUUACUGGGCGUAAAGGGCUCGUAGGCGGCCAACUAAGUCAGACGUGAAAUCCCUCAGCUUAACUGGGGAACUGCGUCUGAUACUGGAUGGCUUGGAUUCGGGAGAGGAAUGCGGAAUUCCAGGUGUAGCGGUGAAAUGCGUAGAUAUCAAGAGGAACACCUGAGGUGAAGACGGGUUGCUGGGCCAACACUGACGCUGAGGCGCGAAAGCUAGGGGAGCAAACAGG
rnacentral:rRNA from 1 species